AAGAAUUUACAGAUUUGAUAAUUUCGGAGCUUAUUGAGCCACUACGAAGAUAUUAGAGUUUGGAUCGUAUUUUAUGACCGUAUACUUAAAGCCCAAGACCGAGUUAAAAAAAGUUAGUUCGGCGAUCAAGGGCUCGAUAUGUGAGAAGGUCCAAGAUUUUACAAGUUAUUGUUACGGACCAAUCAAGGAAAGAAAUUUGGGCCAAAAGCUUGAAGGGGCCCGAGCUUGCAAAUCCCAUCAAAGAAGUAAUUGGUAUACACUAGACCCUAGUGUAGGUAGCCCAACCUACACUCCCUCUAAACGCAGCGUUUAGAGUUACUACCCACACCCCCUCCACUAACCCACAAUAAUUACCCACUCCCCACAAUAACCACAGUAACUGCAUAACUAACUUCCCCUACCCCACAUAUAUAUAUACAUAAAAAAAAUAAAAAAAAAAUCAAUUUCAAAUCAUUCUCUCUCUCUAAACACCAUCUUCUUCAUUUCUCUAGAGUUUCUCUCUCAUCAAACCCAACGAAUCGGAACAAAUUUCAAUUUAAAUCACUGAAAAAUUGCUUCAAAAUACUCCAAAAUUGCUUCAAAUGUCUGAUAUUCGAGAAGAAAUUAAACAAUCACAACAAAAAGAGUAAGUAAUUUCGUUAGUUUUGUUCAUUUUUUGAGAUUGUAGUGCAAUUUUAUGUGUGAAACCUUAAUUUUGUUCAUUUUGUUGCGAUUGUAGUGCGAUUUUGCAAAAAACCACUACAGAGAAGAACAUGCAAGAAGAAACUGCAAAAACGGAGCAAAAUGUAUCUAAAGAUAUGAUUUUGGAGAAGAAUACUUCAGAGACGAGUAAUUUGUUGAAAA